rnacentral:misc_RNA from 1 species
AAAUUUUUUCGAGACCAAAUCAAAAAAAUUAUAUACUACCUCGAUGUUGAAUUAAGAAAAACCUUAAUAGAAAAAAAUUAAGAUUUAGGUCUGUUCGACCUUAAAAUUCUUACAUGAUUUGAGUUAAGACCGGUGAAAGCCAGGUUGGUUUCUAUCCUUAAAACAUUCAUUUUUACAGUACGAAAGGACCUAAAAAUUUAACUUAAUUAAUUAAUUAGCUUAUAAAAAGCAAGUAUUUUGAAAAUACUAGAAAGAUCAAAAGGUUUAUUAAUUUAUUU